rnacentral:rRNA from 1 species
UACGAAGGGGCUAGCGUUGUUCGGAAUCACUGGGCGUAAAGGGCUCGUAGGCGGCCAACUAAGUCAGACGUGAAAUCCCUCAGCUUAACUGGGGAACUGCGUCUGAUACUGGAUGGCUUGGAUCCGGAAGAGGGAUGCGGAAUUCCGAGGUGUAGCGGUGAAAUGCGUAGAUAUCUGGAGGAACACCGGUGGCGAAGGCGGCAUCCUGGGGCCACUACUGACGCUGAGAAGCGAAAGCAUGGGGAAGCGAACGAGGAAUUGAUGAAACCC